rnacentral:rRNA from 1 species
UACGUAGGGUGCGAGCGUUGUCCGGAAUUAUUGGGCGUAAAGAGCUUGUAGGCGGUUUGUCGCGUCUGCCGUGAAAAUUCGAGGCUCAACCUCGAACUUGCGGUGGGUACGGGCAGACUAGAGUGCGGUAGGGGAGACUGGAAUUCCUGGUGUAGCGGUGAAAUGCGCAGAUAUCAGGAGGAACACCGAUGGCGAAGGCAGGUCUCUGGGCCACUACUGACGCUGAGAAGCGAAAGCAUGGGGAGCGAAUAGG